GUGAAAUGUACCAGAUAACAUGCGAAACCCACAUUAUGUAGCAGCAGAUCCAGUAACACAUAGCAUCUAUGUAGGGGAAUUGGACCCUGAAAGUGUUUGGAAGUUUAGCAGACCUGUUACAGUACAGUCAAGUUCACAGCAUAACAAAGUUGAGGAAAGUACUCAGAGCCAGUUACUGUCAGCAAUCCAUUGGACCAGAGUGAAACCAAUACCACAGAGUUGUCUGAGGCUAUCAAAGAUAGCAGUGAUGUCUCUCCCUCUGUCAUCAAUUGGCAUCUUACUUGUGGAAAAUUUAAAUGUUAUGGACAUGGAAAGAAGGGAAAGGUUUUUAACCUUAAAGGCUUUACUUGGAAUUCUCAUAAAGGCUUUGAUAGACUUAGUACUGAGGAAAGUGAUCAUGAGGUUGACCCAGAUGAUUUAGAUGAUAAAGACUAUUUGACACCUCCCAAGAGAAUAAAGCAUAGCCUCAAGUUCAAGGCUGACUAAAUUGUGUAAAUUAAUCUUUUUUUUUCUUUGUUAUUAGUUGGUCAUAUCAUAAUAUUCUGCCAUUACAGUCAGGGUUUAAACUUGUUUACAUGUUGAAUCUGAUACCAACUAAAUCUCAUAAACACAUAAUUAACCAUAGACCCACCUCAUGUAAAAAAAAAUGUUUUGUAAAAUGUUUUACAUAUUUCGGAUGUUCUUUCAGAGUUGAAGAUAGUUUACUUCCUAGUCCAAAUCUCCCACAGGACGACGGGGGAUGGGAGCGGGCAGGGUUUGAGCCCGGGACCAUCGAUAAAUCCAAACGACAGUCCAGCGUGCAAACCGCACGACCAGGCAGCCAUAUUACAUGUUAUUAGUUGUAAGUUGUAUUACAAUAACUAAGUGAUUUUGAGCUCAUAAAAUUUCAAAAUAAAAUUAUAAAAUGCUUUUGUCAUUGAAAAAAAGAUUACUAUGUUGGAUUUUUUUUGGAUAGCAAAGGCUAUUUGACCUUUUUAUUUCAAUAUGUGAUAUCAAAAUUUUUAAUUCAUUAAUUUGUUUAAUAUUUGUCGAAAGUUUGCUUUUGAAUAAAAUAUUUAUCAGCAUUAUUAUCAUUUAAUAAGUAUAUUUUGUUUUUUAAUUUUAUGAAUGAUUUGAUGUUAUAAUGCCAGGUCAUUUACAAAGCACACGCCUGCCAACUUUCUUUUUGUAAUGAUUCUCAAAACUUAAUUAGCUACCAAAUGAUUGUUUGCUCACUUGGUUGUGAUGAUUCAACAUUCCUGUUAUGUUCCACCAUUUCCUUCUUCAAUUCUAAAGCUGGCUUUAUUUCAUCUAGUGAACGUACCAUUAGUGUUAGUGACCCUGGCAAACUAGCCAUUUUAUGCACAAUUUUAAAAUGUUCAUAUGGAUAAUAUGGUUAGUUUUUUUAUAGCAUUUUUGACUACAUGGAGUUCCAGACAACUUUCCAUGUUGCUGGUCCCUUUCUCAUGUCAUUAUUAAAUCUUAUUUAAAAAACAAAAAAAACUUGUUAGAUGGUAACAUUGUCCAAAUUGUUACUAGUUUUAUGUAAUGUGUUUGAAAACUAUGACUUCCUUAGAUUGACUACUAGACUCUCAUUCAUGUAUUGCAUUUCUUUAUUUUAAAUCUUGUUAAGGCUUGUUUAAAAUCUUUCGACAUUCAACUUUUUAUGCCAUAUUACAAUGUUUAUUUGUUAAUUCAAUUGUUUAGUCAUAUGUUUGUUUUCCAAAGUGUUACUAUUUGGUGCAAUCAAAAUAUUUAGUGGCAUUUUACAUACAAACACUGGUAGUUGAAAUGAGUAGCACAUUUUAGCUAAUUUCUGAUGAAUCAAAAUAAAAAUGUCAUGAUAUAAAAAUAAUUUUAAAUUUAAAAACCUAAAUGAAAAAAAUUGUAUUUUUUGUAAAUAUAGUUACAGUUAUAUUGAAUAGAAUUAUUUAUGUUAGCAACUUUUGAAUGCAUCACAUAAUUUUAAUUUGACACAGAAACUGAAAAUCAUUUCAAUUAAAGAUUGUUGACUGUUGUUUCACCUCAGAUGAAUUGAUUACAUUUUAAGAGGUUAUCAGAUAUUUAUAUUUAUGACAUACAAUCUUUUUGUUAUGUUAUGAGUUGUUUUUGUUUUUAUUUUCUACAUGUUCAGGGUAUAAAGUUCUAGUGCAUACAUACGUAGAUUUCAACCCACAUUUUUUAGUUCUUACUUAUGUAUUUACAUACAUGUACUAAGAACUAAUAUGAAAUUACAACUUAAUCAUUUUUUGUGCUAUUUUUAUGUAUUUGAACCAAUUUUUAUUUUAAAUUAGCACAAGUUAAAUCUGUUGAUCAGAAUUUUUUUCCUUGGUAAUAGUUAUAUUUAUACUCAAACCCAUUUGAUGUUACUUCUGCAAAGAUUUAUAGACACUCAGAGGAAAUGAUAUUAGCAUGGUAGACACAGUUAAACUUUUAAGGCAGAGUUUUGGAAUUAAAGCUAAAAUUUUAAAAUAAAUCAAAAACAUUGAUAAACAAGCUGUUUACUGCUAGUUUAGUGCAUCAAUCCAUUGUCUGCUUUUGAUUUAGUCUUUGGUUCUUGAUUUCUAUGCUGCACUGUGUCAAUAACUUUACUUUUUCAAAGCAGUUCUAUUAAUCUCUUUCAAAUACUAUUUGCUUAUACUAAUCAGAAUGUAAGAUUUAAUGGGUUUGAUAUUUGUUUCAACUGGUGAUGGUCCCCCUAAAGUAUUGUAUUAGUACUUCAAAACUUACUUAUGUACAGUUUCAUUAAUCAAUUAUAUUUUUUAGGCUGUUGAAGGUUUAUCAAUUGAUUUUUUUUUAUCUGGUGGAGACAUUUAACCAUUUUGUUUUUGCCACAAAAAAAAAUUUAACUUGUUUGUUGUGAAAAAUGAAAUCAAAAGUGAAUGAUCACCUAGUCUUUGAAAGUUCAAAAUAUUUGUACUACUUUAUUGAUGUCAUGUACUCACAUUAUAUUUGUGUGUUAGUGUUUGUCUUAACAUGUUGAUGUUGUUUUGUGAUAUCUACAUCAACAUUGUCUCUUGUUGGUGGGGUAUGCAAGACAUUGGUUCUAUGCUGUUGGUAAAAAUUUCUCAUCCUUCAUUGACUUCCAUUGUACUCCACCUUGCACUUAUGUUUUAUGGAGUGCUAGAAAUCUAAAAAGUAUCCCAGUCAUAAUAGAAGAUUUUUAAAACUUACCACAUUUAGAGCAUUUCAUUUUUACUUUGCUCUUUUUUUUAUUGUGUAUGUUCUUAAUUGUAAUCAACAUCUGACAGUGCUACAUAAUGUUUUAUUUAAUGACUGAGCAUAAUGCUUAAUUUGAUUUUAAUGUGGCUAAAAUUCAUUUGUUUCUCAAAUGUUAGUAGCAUAGAAAACAUGAACUGUGUGGUCUAUUUAUCUUAAUGUGUGUUUGAUGUAUUGUAAGUGAUCAUAUGUAACAGUUAUGGGUAUAGAGAAUAAAAUACAAAAUAUUUAA